rnacentral:RNase_P_RNA from 1 species
AAAGUCCGCCAGACAGUCGCUGCUAUUCUGCGUUUAGGCGUUUGAGUAGGGGAGGAAAGUCCGGGCUCCAUAGGGCAAGGUGCCAGGUAACACCUGGGCGGCGUGAGCCGACGGCCAGUGCAGCAGAGAGUAGACCGCCAACCCCGAUUUAUCGGGCGGUAAGGGUGAAAGGGUGCGGUAAGAGCGCACCGCGUGCGUGGUAACACGUUACGGCUUGGUAAACCCCACCUGGAGCAAGACCAAAUAGGAACCCAUUAGGUGCUGCCCGCACUGGGUUCGGGUAGGUCGCAAGAGGUCUGUGGCGACGCAGACCCUAGAUGAAUGACUGUCCACGACAGAACCCGGCUUAUGUGGCGGGCUUUCUCA